GCCGGGCGCGGUGGCACAUGCCUGUAGUCCCAGCUAUUCGGGAGGCCGAGGCUGGAGGAUUUCGAGUCCAGGAGUUCUGGGCUGUAGUGCGCUAUGCCGAUCAGGUGUCCGUACUAAGUUCGGCAUCAACAUGGUGACCUCCCGGGAGCAGGGGACCACCAGGUUGCCUAAGGAGGGGUGAACCGGCCCAGGUCGGAAACGGAGCAGGUCAAAACUCCCGUGGUGAUCAGGAAUAAAUUUAACAAGCUACCAAACUUAGACUCUGAAAACUGCGUAACAUCGU
rnacentral:SRP_RNA from 1 species